ensembl:lncRNA
ACUUAUCCUCCAUAAAAUCAAUCUAAUAUGAAAUUAUGCAUGAGGUCCUUCAAACUGUGAGCUAAUUUGUUGUCCUGUUUUUACCUCCUUCAAGCUUAUGAGAAAUAAAAAUCCAUGACAAAUAAGAUAAAGGAUGUCUGGCCAAGUUUUCCACGUGGAGGAAAGAGGUGUGCUGGGCUACUGGCCACAGGAAAUCACCUCACCUGGAGCCCCAAAUCCCUGAGGCCAGGAGGGAGAUGCAUGAAGUUGUUAUGCUACUAUGACCUCCCCCUUGCAGAGCAAUUAUACAUCAGCAUUUGUUAGCCCCUGAUCAUUUCCAAACUGAGCAAUUGGAAGCCAGUGCUCCUCCAUUUCUGAUCCUUCCAUGCAAGAUAUUAAAGUCCUCCUUAACUGAGAUAAGUGAGGUAGACCUUCCUACAUCCGCUUAUGCCUAUUUAUAUCAAGGUUGCUCUCAAGAUUCAGGCUGCGAGUGCUAGCCUUUGCCUUAGGUUGGGAGAAGGGGAUGUUCUCUCUUCCACACCCCAGGGUUCACUAGAUCUGAUUUGCAAAAUUCCUUCUGUUCCUUCCCUUUGAGUUCUGAUGUGAUUUUCUUUUUUUUUUUAAGAUUUUAUUUAUUUAUUCAUGACAGACACAGAGAGAGAGGAAGAGACAUAGGCAGAGGGAGAAGCAGGCUCCCUGUGGGAAGCCUGAUGCGAAACUCAAUUCCAGGACCCGAGGAUCAUGACCUGAGCCGAAGGCAGAUGCUCAACCACUGCGCAUCCAGGCAUCUCUCUGAUGUGAUUUUCAACUCUUUACUCCAGUAAAGACUUAUCACACAAACUUUCUUUAUAUGUAGCUGCCAUUAAGACAAAUGGACUUAGGGCUUAAUGAAGAAGAAAAAAAAAAUAAUAAUAACCUGACUACCUGCUUUAUCAGAUCACAUCCAUUUCUCUCAGGGCACCAUUUUGGAGGAUUCUGAGGUCUUUCAUCUUUAGACCAAAGAUUCUAAUAAAG